GCUCAUUUCUUUUCUUCUUCUCUCUAUACGUUGGUGUUCUAACCAAUAAUCACCGAUGCGAUGUUCUGUCCGAUCGAUUCAGGAACCAACUAACGGAUGCCAAAGUGCUAUACUUUGAGAGUUCGUUAAACGGAUGCCAAAGUGCUAUACUUUGAGAGUUCGUUAAACGGAUGCCAAAGUACUAUACUUUGUGAUUUCGGUAAACGGAAUCCAAAGUGUUACACUUUGUGCAAUUCAUUAAGGUUCGAAUCUGAUGACUACCGUUAAGGUUUGAUUUGGGUUUUACACAAAUACGUAUUCCAUUCUGUUAAACUAUAUGUUUAACUACCAAAAAUACUCCCAACUACACACUCACAAUCAAACAAACUAUUAAAUCAUCAGAAGAUCCAGAGUAAUAAAGUGCAUGCUUAAUUAUCGGAAGAAGUAGAAUCAAGAAGCUUGUUAACUCAAUCUUGCAUGCUUAUAAAGUAAUUACAGUAGAUUGGAGUAAGGAUUGGAUCCAGCACUAAAGGACUUCAAGAAGUGGCUUAUUUUAUUAAUUAAAUCAACUCAUUAAAUAUUAUUUUUGGGUUUAUCCCGUAUUAAAAGCUACCUUUGUAAAACAUGGAAUUUAUUCCAUCUAUUUAAAUAAAAUCCGGUGU
rnacentral:lncRNA from 1 species